AUUGAACGCUGGCGGCAGGCCUAACACAUGCAAGUCGAGCGGAUGAAGGGAGCUUGCUCCUGGAUUCAGCGGCGGACGGGUGAGUAAUGCCUAGGAAUCUGCCUGGUAGUGGGGGAUAACGUCCGGAAACGGGCGCUAAUACCGCAUACGUCCUGAGGGAGAAAGUGGGGGAUCUUCAGACCUCACGCUAUCAGAUGAGCCUAGGUCGGAUUAGCUAGUUGGUGGGGUAAAGGCCUACCAAGGCGACGAUCCGUAACUGGUCUGAGAGGAUGAUCAGUCACACUGGAACUGAGACACGGUCCAGACUCCUACGGGAGGCAGCAGUGGGGAAUAUUGGACAAUGGGCGAAAGCCUGAUCCAGCCAUGCCGCGUGUGUGAAGAAGGUCUUCGGAUUGUAAAGCACUUUAAGUUGGGAGGAAGGGCAGUAAGUUAAUACCUUGCUGUUUUGACGUUACCAACAGAAUAGGCACCGGCUAACUUCGUG
rnacentral:rRNA from 1 species